CACGUAGGGGGCAAGCGUUAUCCGGAUUUACUGGGUGUAAAGGGAGCGUAGACGGCUUUGCAAGCCAGAUGUGAGAGCCCGGGGCUCAACCUCGGGACUGCAUUUGGAACUGUAUGGCUGGAGUGUCGGAGAGGCAGGCGGAAUUCCUAGUGUAGCGGUGAAAUGCGUAGAUAUUAGGAGGAACACCAGUGGCGAAGGCGGCCUGCUGGACGAUGACUGACGUUGAGGCUCGAAAGCGUGGGGAGCAAACAGG
rnacentral:rRNA from 1 species